rnacentral:ncRNA from 1 species
AAGAGCUGUAUGAUUUGAGAGAGUCACGUGCGGUUCUGUGAGGUGCUGGAGGUGAAAUUCCUCCGGCCUAUUCAGC